rnacentral:lncRNA from 1 species
AAUUGGAUAUGGGUAUUGUAGCUGAAACGUCUUGCGAGCUGAGUCAGGGUCGGGGAAGCUGUGAUGGCAAUGAGAAGUCAACACACUGAGGAUGGAGAGAAAGAAGAUGAGUCUGGGAGAGAAAGAGAAUGAUUCUUCUGGCCGAGGGAAAGCAAGAAUAUCUGUUCCUGCAACUGCACUGAUUCUAGAAACACUCUCUAUUCGAACUCUCAUGAGGUGCUGACCUGCUUGGUGAAUGCUGGGAUCUCUGGAAGAGGGAGGCAGACAUCACACACCAGCUGGCAAGUGGGAGCUGGCAUGCAACAUGCCCCAAUACCACUCCCCUCCUGCCAUCCCUAUCUCCUAAUGGUGCCUCCUUUUGGCCAAACCCACCUUUGGCUGGAGGGCAACAGAGCCCAUUGACGUGGUCCCCUUGCAUCUGCUACCUGGGGAGAAAAGCAGGAUGGACACUGAAUCUAGAGAAAUGAAGAAACCCAUCCAGAAGAAUACUGCUUCUUUAUGUUUUUGUAGAGCGGCCCAGCCCUUGGAAUGUGUUUCUGCCACGACAAGGAAUACAGGAGGAGUUGAACAGGAAACCUGCCUCCUAUCAGAUUCACCUGAGGACGUGGGUUGUCACGAGCUCCCCAAACAAUAAAGCACUUUACGACAUAGGAGGCAUUAUUAUUAAGCUGUUUUCAGUCCCUGAUACCUGCAUGUUGUAGGACCAUGGUGCAUGAAGGAUUUUAAGGAGGCACUUUUGAAAUGUGAAAGGGACAUAGACUGUACAUCUGGAGCACAAAGGCAGGUUUAACCAGCUUUGUCCUGCUCGGCGCCAGUUGGAAGAGAGCAUCUGGCUUUGAAGUGUCUAAAGCCAGGCGUGACGCUGGAUUCUACAGCUGGGACUAGAAACAGAUCUGGCAGGUGGAUAUGCAAUCAUUCCUAUGUGAUGAAGCUCCAGUAAAAUCUCUGGACACCAGCACAGGAUGGGAUGUCCUUUUGCAGAGGAAGCCCAGGUUGGACUUGAACUUCUGGGCUCAAGUUGCCCAUGCUGGACUUGAACUCCUGGGCUCAAGUGGUCCUCUGGCCUCAGCCUCCCAUGUAGCUGAGUCUACUGAUGUAUACCAUCACACCUGGCUUUUUCUUUUCAUUGGAAAAUUUAGUCCAUUUACAUUUAAAGUAAUUGUAAUAGUACCCCUUCUAUUACGAGGGAGGAAAAUAAAACUCAGAUUUCAGGAAUCAAUCAAGGUCAUGUAGCAACCUGGUGGUCAGCCAGAGCUAGAAAUUAUCAAAUAUGAUGAUCCAGGACAGUGGUUCCCAAAUUGUGGUUCCUGAACCAGCAGCAUCAGUAUCAUAUAAAAACUUAUUUGAAAUGUAAAUUAUUGAGCAUAAUUCUACUGAAUCAAACUCCAGAGGUAAGA